AUGUCAUAACUAGAGCUGCAGCCCACAUGUGAACUCCAGCAGCCCCUGGACCAGGCCCAACCUGCCGCAUACUUGGUUGCCCACUGGCACACCACAUCUGGGCACCUGCUUCCAUCUGACCACUUCUGAGCCUGUCCACCCAAGCUCCAUGCUAAGCACCGACUCCAGGCCAUUAGGACCUGCAUGAGAAGCACUGCCAUCUGACCAAAUGUUGUGGGUGUGAAAUUUCCAAGAAGCUGGGUCAAGAACAGGGACUGAAAGACAAGCAUCAAGUUGCUCUCGCUCACCAGGAGAUUAACCCGUCAGGCUGCCAAGUGAGAAGGGACAGAGCAGGCCCUGACAGGAGGCCCAGGAUGCAGGAGAAAGCAAAACAAAUCCACCUGCUUAAGGAAGACCCUGCUGAUGACUGCCGCCCGGUGACCUCGUCCUGGGGGCAUCUGUGGCAAGUGCUGUCUCAGCCACUGGUGAGGCACUGGGCCAUUUAUGACUGCCUGAUGACAAUAUUUUUCAUGAUUGUGUUUGCACUGUUGUUUAGCAACUUUGCGUAACCAUCUUGUUCAGCUCUGAAUAAAGCUUAGCACCUGGAAGCCCA